UGCCAUUUUUCACUAAAAAGGAGCAGACAGCAGCAAUAUGUAACUUCAAUCUGAAAUACGAAAUGCAAGAUGAGUCUGAAGUACAAAAAGACAAAAGGACUGGGAAAACUCUGAGAUCUAAUAAAGACAAGCCUUUUGCACAGCUUUACCAAGAAACCAAGAGACAGAUGUCACCCAGCCAUGUCAUGUUAAUGUAGCAACCAAGAAAGAAGAAGAGGCAAAAAAGGGUACUGCAUGUGAUAUCAGGAUUAACAGUUUUUACCUCUGAAAAACAGGGCACUAGUUUUUCACCCUUCAAUAGGAUGCCAACCACUUCUGGGAAAGCUGAGUGAUGAUUCUGU
rnacentral:lncRNA from 10 species